CAACUACUCCCUCUGUCCCAAAUUUCUUGUCUUAGAUUUGUCUAGAUACGGAUGUAUCUAAUACUAAAAUGUGACUUGAUACAUCCGUAUCUAGACAAAUCUAAGAUAAGAAUUUUGGGACGGAGGGGGUACUUU
rnacentral:pre_miRNA from 1 species